AUGGUUGAUUUAUUGGUACGUGCCGGACAUUUACAAGAAGCAUGGGAUUUCAUUGAGAAGAUCCCUGGUAAGGCAGAUGCGGUGAUGUUGAGGGUUUUGCUCGCCACUUGUCGGAAAUGUAUAAAUGUUGAGGUUGGCGCUAGGGUCAUCAACAGGAUAAUGCUGCUGGAGCCCCCAAACUCGUGGAACUACGUGGUUUCAUCCAAGAUAUAUGCAAUCUCAGAUAGAUUGGAAUUGCAUGACCCUGCAUGGAUGAGAGCGCUGAUAAGAGAGAGGGGUGUGAGCAAAGUUCCAGGUUGCAGCUGGAUUGAGGUUAGGGGCAGAGUUCUUGAAUUCUAUGCAGGGGAUGAACCACAACAUGGUGUGGAAGAUAUGUAUCAACUCCUCAACAUGCUUGUUGAUGAGCUAAGACUGGUCGAUGGUCCAAAUCUUGAUCUGGUUUAA
rnacentral:rRNA from 1 species